ACCCGGAGAACUGAAACAUCUUAGUACCCGGAGGAAGAGAAAGAAAAUUCGAUUCCCUUAGUAGCGGCGAGCGAAACGGGAAGAGCCCAAACCAACAAGCUUGCUUGUUGGGGUUGUAGGACACUCUAUACGGAGUUACAAAGGACGACAUUAGACGAAUCAUCUGGAAAGAUGAAUCAAAGAAGGUAAUAAUCCUGUAGUCGAAAAUGUUGUCUCUCUUGAG
rnacentral:rRNA from 1 species